rnacentral:rRNA from 1 species
AGAGUUUGAUCAUGGCUCAGGAUGAACGCUGGCGGCGUGCUUAACACAUGCAAGUCGAACGAAGCACUUUAUUUGAUUUCUUCGGAAUGAAGAUUUAGUGACUGAGUGGCGGACGGGUGAGUAACGCGUGGGCAACCUGCCUCAUACAGGGGGAUAACAGUUGGAAACGACUGCUAAUACCGCAUAAGCGCACAGUACCGCAUGGUACAGUGUGAAAAACUCCGGUGGUAUGAGAUGGGCCCGCGUCUGAUUAGCCAGUUGGCGGGGUAACGGCCCACCAAAGCGACGAUCUGUAGCCGACCUGAGAGGGUGACCGGUCACAUUGGGACUGAGACACGGCCCAAACUCCUACGGGAGGCAGCAGUGGGGAAUAUUGCACAAUGGGGGAAACCCUGAUGCAGCGACGCCGCGUGAGCGAAGAAGUAUUUCGGUAUGUAAAGCUCUAUCAGCAGGGAAGAAGAAUGACGGUACCUGACUAAGAAGCACCGGCUAAAUACGUGCCAGCAGCCGCGGUAAUACGUAUGGUGCAAGCGUUAUCCGGAUUUACUGGGUGUAAAGGGAGCGCAGGCGGAAGGCUAAGUCUGAUGUGAAAGCCCGGGGCUCAACCCCGGUACUGCAUUGGAAACUGGUCAUCUAGAGUGUCGGAGGGGUAAGUGGAAUUCCUAGUGUAGCGGUGAAAUGCGUAGAUAUUAGGAGGAACACCAGUGGCGAAGGCGGCUUACUGGACGAUUACUGACGCUGAGGCUCGAAAGCGUGGGGAGCGAACAGGAUUAGAUACCCUGGUAGUCCACGCCGUAACG